CGCAAUUAGGGUUCUCUGGUCCUCCCGCCCCCGGUGCUGGCAUUCUCAAGCCAGUGAAAUCGGUGCGAGUGUCUUCGCCUCUGAGAGAGAUACUAUGAGAUCUCAAGCCUCGGAGGCGUAGAUACUCACACCUCUUUUUCUGGCUAUCUCACCACUGCUCUUUUCCGCCGGGGCACGAAGGGAUUGCUGCUUUUGUUGCAAUGUUGAAUUUAUGCGUAUAUAGACUAGUUGAUUGUGCCACACAACAAUGCUAUUUGGGCAAUUAUUUGAUUUUUGAAUUCAACAAAAGCAUUUAUUUAACUGUGAUGAACUACAAAAUCCCCCUACAAGGCUGUGAGAUUGCAAAAAAAAGCCAAAGGGAUUCUCGUGCACGAUCUUUAAGAAAUGUUUGUGGGUGUCUACUAAACACUCUGGAGUUCUAUACGAAGAAAAUUGGCAUCAUCCUGCAUUUACAUUUACUACGAAAGUAGGGGAAAGUAAACAAUUGUUUUCUGGCCAAAAUUAUUAUGUAAAUUGGUAAAAUAUAUUGAAGCGUAUCAACGGAUGGAUAAUCAAAUAGGUUGUUAUUAUUUCUGAGAGAGAUUGUGACAACUGCCUCAGAAUAUCAGAAUAUGUUAUUACCAGGAUGACUGAAGAUGCAGAACAGAUGGAAGCAGAGGAUUUACAGAACAAAAUGAUGAACUAUCUUCAAUUAAUCAUGUCAUAAUUUGGUGGUUUAAUAUUUCAUAUAGAUGUAAUCCUUGUCUUUAUUUUGUUUCAACUCAAGUACGAAAUAAUGAAUAUGGUGGAGGACUUUUACUGCAAA